CGCCUGUUUAUCAAAAACAUGUCUUUUUGAUAAUUAUAUAAGGUUUGGCCUGCUCCAUGAGGAAUUAAAUAGCCGCAGUAUUUUGACUGUGCAAAGGUAGCAUAAUCAUUAGUUUUUUAAUUGAAAGCUGGAAUGAAGGGUCGGAUGAGGAAGAUUCUGUCUCACUAUUAUUUUUAUUGAAUUUUAUAUUUAAGUUAAAAAGCUUAAAUUUUAUAAAAAGACGAGAAGACCCUAUAGAGUUUAAUAGGUUUGAAUUACAUUUAUUUAUAGAUUUUAAUUUAAUUGUUUUUCAGUCUAUUUGGUUGGGGUGACAUAAGAAUUGAAUAAACUUCUUGUUAUAUUAACAUUGAUUGAUGAAUAGUUGAUCCUAUUAUUUGGAUUAUAAGAAUAAAUUACCUUAGGGAUAACAGCGUAAUUCUUUUAAAGAGCUCUUAUCGAUAAAAGGGAUUGCGACCUCGAUGUUGGAUUAAAAUUAAAUCUUGGUGCAGAAGCUAGGGUAUUU
rnacentral:rRNA from 1 species